rnacentral:rRNA from 1 species
UACGUAGGGGGCAAGCGUUGUCCGGAAUUAUUGGGCGUAAAGAGCGUGUAGGCGGCCAGAUAAGUCCGCUGUGAAAUCUCGAGGCUCAACUUCGAGCUGUCGGUGAAACUAUCUGGCUAGAGUCCGGAAGAGGAGAAUGGAAUUCCUGGGUGUAGCGGUGAAAUGCGCAGAUAUCAGGAAGAACACCCCGUGGCGAAGGCGGUUCUCUGGGACGGUACUGACGCUGAGACGCGAAAGCGUGGGGAGCGAACAGGAUU